rnacentral:lncRNA from 1 species
UCAUUUCUUCAGCCCAUUAUUUAUUUAGAAAUAUAAAAGCCAUAAAAUUUUAAAGUUUUAAGAGCUUUAGAAUGUUUAAAACACAAAAAAAAAAAAUAUUAAAAAAAGAAAGUAUUUUGAGUCAAAAUUUGACAAGUUGGACCCUAACACAUUUUAUUACAAAAUAAUUGAAAAAAAAUCAAAAUGGGGCAACAAGCCCG